rnacentral:rRNA from 1 species
UACGUAGGGUGCAAGCGUUAAUCGGAAUUACUGGGCGUAAAGCGUGCGCAGGCGGUUAUGCAAGACAGAUGUGAGAUCCCCGGGCUCAACCUGGGAACUGCAUUUGUGACUGCAUAGCUGGAGUGCGGCAGAGGGGGAUGGAAUUCCGCGUGUAGCAGUGAAAUGCGUAGAUAUGCGGAGGAACACCGAUGGCGAAGGCAAUCCCCUGGGCCUGCACUGACGCUCAUGCACGAAAGCGUGGGGAGCAAACAGG